CAGUAGCCGCGGGAAUACGUAGGGUGCGAGCGUUAAUCGGAAUUACUGGGCGUAAAGGGCGUGUAGGCGGCCUGGGGCGUCCCAUGUGAAAGGCCACGGCUCAACCGUGGAGGAGCGUGGGAUACGCUCAGGCUAGAGGGUGGGAGAGGGUGGUGGAAUUCCCGGAGUAGCGGCGAAAUGCGCAGAUACCGGGAGGAACGCCGAUGGCGAAGGCAGCCACCUGGUCCACUUCUGACGCUGAGGCGCGAAAGCGUGGGGAGCAAACCGGAUUAGAUACCCGCGUAGUCCCUGUCUCUUAUAC
rnacentral:rRNA from 1 species